rnacentral:rRNA from 1 species
AGUGAACGCUGGCGGCGUGCCUAAUACAUGCAAGUCGAACGAAGUGGCGCACGGGUGAGUAAUAUAUAGUUAAACUGCCCUACACAGAGGAACAACAGUUGGGAACGACUGCUAAAACCUCAUAGUGUGGGAUGAGACUAUAUCGUAUCAGCUAGUUGGUAAGGUAAUGGCUUACCAAGGCUAUGACGCGUAACUGGUCGGAGAGGAUGAUCAGCCACAUUGGAAGUGAGGCACGGUUCAAACAUCUACGGCAAGCAGCAGAAGGGAAUAUUGCGAAAGGCGCGAAAGCCAGACGGAGCUACGGCUCGUAAAGGAUGACUCUUUUCGGAGCGUAAACUCGUUUGAUCAUGAAAGCGGUACCUAAUGAGUAAGCACCGGCUAACUCCGUGCCAGCAGCCGCGGUAAUAC